rnacentral:rRNA from 1 species
GAUGAACGCUGGCGGCGUGCCUAAUACAUGCAAGUCGAGCGAACGGACGAGAAGCUUGCUUCUCUGAUGUUAGCGGCGGACGGGUGAGUAACACGUGGAUAACCUACCUAUAAGACUGGGAUAACUUCGGGAAACCGGAGCUAAUACCGGAUAAUAUUUUGAACCGCAUGGUUCAAAAGUGAAAGACGGUCUUGCUGUCUCUUUUAGAUGGAUCCGCGCUGCAUUAGCUAGUUGGUAAGGUAACGGCUUACCAAGGCAACGAUGCAUAGCCGACCUGAGAGGGUGAUCGGCCACACUGGAACUGAGACACGGUCCAGACUCCUACGGGAGGCAGCAGUAGGGAAUCUUCCGCAAUGGGCGAAAGCCUGACGGAGCAACGCCGCGUGAGUGAUGAAGGUCUUCGGAUCGUAAAACUCUGUUAUUAGGGAAGAACAUAUGUGUAAGUAACUGUGCACAUCUUGACGGUACCUAAUCAGAAAGCCACGGCUAACUACGUG